AACGAAUGCUGGCGGCAGGCUUAACACAUGCAAGACGAGCGCCCCGCAAGGGGAGCGGCAGACGGGUGAGUAACGCGUGGGAAUCUACCCAUCUCUACGGAAUAACGCAUGGAAACGUGUGCUAAUACCGUAUACGUCCUUCGGGAGAAAGAUUUAUCGGAGAUGGAUGAGCCCGCGUUGGAUUAGCUAGUUGGUGGGGUAAAGGCCUACCAAGGCGACGAUCCAUAGCUGGUCUGAGAGGAUGAUCAGCCACACUGGAACUGAGACACGGCCCAGACUCCUACGGGAGGCAGCAGUGGGGAAUAUUGGACAAUGGGCGCAAGCCUGAUCCAGCCAUGCCGCGUGAGUGAUGAAGGCCCUAGGGUUGUAAAGCUCUUUCACCGGUGAAGAUAAUGACGGUAACCGGAGAAGAAGCCCCGGCUAACUUCGUGCCAGCCGCCGCCGUAAUAC
rnacentral:rRNA from 1 species